rnacentral:rRNA from 1 species
AUGACCUUUCUUUGGUGUAUAUGGAAGGCGAGGAAUGAUGUACUUUUUGACAGGAAAGUAGUCAAGCCUAUGCAUGUAUCUCAAGCUAUGCAAGCCAUUCUAAAUAACCGGGAACUAGAUCUCCAACUACUUCAAAUAGGGCAGGGUAUUUCUCAGAUAGAGCAUAAGGAGAAUCUUCUCAUAAACUCAAACCAGCAGGGUCAUGUAGGUAUUAUGCAAGCUACUGGGUCAAGUUGCAGAGUCUUCACAGAUGCGGCGUGGAAAGCAGAAAGACAAAAUAUCACAGGUAUUGGAAUUUACAUAGAAUUGGCUAAGGAACAUCAGCAGGUAAACAUUAGCAUUCUUGUGUCCGAGAAGCCCAUCCAUUCUCCUCUCGAGGCAGAAGCUAUGGCACUACAGGUGGCUGCACAAGUGCUCUCUACAGUUGCAGCAGGAGACAUCAUAUUCUUCACAGAUAGUCAGGUUUUGGCUCAGGCUGCACAAGCGAGGGACAUUCUUAAAAGGCCAGGUCAUUGGGAGAUUAGAAAUCCACUGGCAAAUUUUUUUGCCACCACUAGCCGCACCCAAAUAGCUAUCUAUCAUAUUCCCAGGGAGUUUAAUAGCAGGGCACACAAUAAUGCUGCUAAAGCUUACUCUUUAGAACAUAAUAUUAGCCCUCAAAUGGCUUGUAAUAACAAGACUCAUUUAGUUGAUCACUGUCCUAUGCUUUUGAAGCUAGGCAAUCUAAACAUCAGUCAUUGUAAAAUCAUGGAUGUAUCAUGUUCUUCAGAUUAA